AUCCAGCUGACGAGUCCUAAAUAGAGCGAAACGCGCGUCCUGGAU
rfam:Schistosoma haematobium scaffold248_24, whole genome shotgun sequence.